CAAUUCUACAGGAAAAAAAACGAUUCUACAUAUGCCCGUCUCUCUAUCCCCACGAGAACACGAACCAUCCCGGCCGCCCGGCGCUAGGGUUCCCUCCGCCGCCGCGCCCCAUCCCUCCGCUCCCAGCAACCCUCUCCACCCUCUCCCAUCCCCAGUCGUCUCGUAGCCCCUCGCCGCCGUUCGAUAUCCAAGACGGAGCCUCGGCCGACAGCUCCUUGGAGCACGCCGCCCGCCGGUGGAUGCCCUGAUUCUGCGCGACCCCGCCGGAGACUCACCUCGCCACCUUGGCGCCUCCCGCAGGAUCUCCGCCACCGCCUAGCGCUUCUGUGCGCAAGGAUGCCGACGCCUCUCCCUGGUACCUCUAUCUCCGCUCCCUCGGGGCGCUGCUCACUGCUCCACACCCCUUUCCUCUCCCAUCCAAUACGGCUCACGGCCUGCUACAGACGCCUGCCGGCUCCCGUGCAGGCCCUCCUGGUGGACAGCCUCCAGCCCACACAAGCUUCCCUGUUCUGGCUCUGUCGCCUACCAUGGUUGAGUAGAGCGAGGAGAUCGAGAGGGGAAAUAGUCACUUGAUUUUUGCGGAUUAUGUUGAGCAUGGAGAUUGAUCUUAACUUUUUGGUUGUCCGCAGAUUCAAUGAUGACAACACGCACACCUUUCCCUGAUGCUUGGGCAAAGGCAUGUAUGUCCGAUGUGCAGGCAAAACUUUAUAGAUGCUGAUUACAUACAUUAGAAAUUGCCAACUCGGUGGAUGAUACCUACUAUGACUUGGGACUCAGAAAAAAGAUCAACACGUAGAUGCAGAUUACAUAGAUCAGGACUUGCUAACUCGGCGUAUGACACAUACUAAACGACAUCAACACGUAGGUAUGAGAGUUCGGAAUAUCCAACACAUGGAUGGCGCGCACUGCAAUUUUCUUCUUCUUUUGAGCUGGAUGGCACUGCGCAAUCUGAUGUAGUGGAGUGGUUCAGUCUAUAAAUUGGUUUUGGCACAUUCAAAAUUAUUAGCUAGAUUUAAUCGUGAAUUCAUCUGGUUCUAUACAUGUUCUAGAGGUUUAGAGGUUUUAGUUGCAAGGAUACCAUAUCGUAAGAUGCACAUUCACAUCUGAAGGUUAAAUGUAUUCAACAAAUCGGGUGAUCAUGCGGUUGGAUCGCUGUUAUAUAUUGGUGAAAUAGGAACUUCUCUUUGAAAUAUGUACAUGAUUAUUUUUUGUCAUACUUGCAAAAAUCUCCUCCAUAAUCACUAUGCAUCCAAUGUGUACUUCUUAUCGAAGAUAAAACUAAAUUUUGCAUGCUUUUAUACUGAUAUAUUUGAGAGCAGAAUUUUUAAUUCUAAUAUUUUAAAUUGAAGAAAAACUUCGAUAUUUUGUGUUUCCCAAAUUAAAUAGCAUAUGAAAUCAAAAAUAGAAUCUAAAUUUCUAUCAUAUGCAAAUCGCUGGUUUGUUGACUAUUUUUAUAAUAACAAAAAGGAGUACUUUUUUUGCCGAUGUUCCAUCCUUUAUCGCCCUUUAAAUAAUUGUAGAUCUUUUUUUGUGGGAGAAAUUGUUUUUAUUUGCAUGUUUUAUUUGGCUGCAAUGCAAUGACAACAUGUUCAGAGUGUAUUCCCGUUGCAACGCACGGGCAAUUUUCCUAUUUCCUAUUCCUAUCCUAUAUAUAUAUAUCUCCCUAAUAAUAAAGCACGGAUUGACUUUGUCGGGUUCACCGUCGCGCACUUUUGCAAAGAAGCCCCUGUUGCGUUUGGUAUUCUAUGCGCAGUCCUCACAAUAAGUUAACACAAACCGGUACGCCCGAGGGAAAGGAAAGAAAAUCAGCCCCCCUCCCCCCGCACACCCUGCCUCCCAAUCCCAUCUCCACCCCCUGCCACGCCCCUCACCGCGCGUCGCCGUGCGACCCUGCCAGCGCGCCUACCCCUCGCCGAUCGGCUACACGCGGAUGAUGCUCGAGCGCACCAUCUGGAUCGCUUCAACGCGGCGGCUCGAGCGGUGGGGGUGGCACGGCUGCUCGAUGUAGAACGGCGGCGGCGGCGACUGGAGCUUGCAGGGGCCGGAUCCGUGCGUGGUAGGGGUUGGGGAGGCUAAUCCGAAGGCGGGCGGCGAGGCGGGGGUCGCCGGUGACGACGAGGAAAUCCAGAGCGAGAGAUCUGGCAACCUAGGCAGGAACUCGCCGGAGCCAGGCGAUGGCGGACGGGUGUGUGAGAUGGAGGGAUCCGGCGUGGCAGCGCGAAUUCCUGGCAGGUAGAGAGCUCCAAGCCAUGGCGGCUCUUCAGUUUUCCCCGGUGGAAAAGAGAGAAAGAGGAGGAUUCAGGGAGGAGGAGAGGUAGGGAGAAGAAGGUGCAGGUGCGAGCUUGGGGAAGAGGGAGUCGAACGUCAAGUGAGAGACAGGGAGGAUCAGGCAUUCUUCUUAGCCAGCGUGGUAAGGUGGAGACGCUGCUUAGGGAAUAUGUGCGUACAUCCUUGCUCAUUUUCUUCUUUCAGUUGUAGGUACUUUCCCGCAGGCGUGUACAUCCUUGCUCUUUCUCUUCUUUCGGUUUUAGGUACUCUCCAGUAUUCAAUUUGCAUGUGGAACCGUACAGAACCAGCUAGAUAUUUUACUACUGUAAGCUGUGGAGUACUGAGAAUGGCAUUUAUAUAUUGCUACAAAUGCAAUAUAUGAUUUAUGCAGCAGAGAGGAGGCUGCAAGGGGAGAGGAACGGUGCAUUGAGGUUGAGGAACACAGGACACAUCGGGACCAGGGAGCUCGAGAAGAGGCUCGAUCGAUCUCGACAAGAAGUGAUCUCCACUUGGUGACAAGAAGGCAAAGAAUAUCAUCUCCAAAGUGUUCAGUGCAGAGAAGAUGAACCAUGCAAAAACUCAGGCUGGACCACCGGGGCUUCACUGCUGGUGGAACGACAGAGGGCUUGGCUGCUACCAGGGUGAUCCAAAUGGAGUAUCUAGGUAGCGUGUUUGUGGCCUCUUGCACUAACAUGAUUAAUUGUAGCUUCUAUUCCAUGACAUGAUUUUUGCAGCUGUAAUGAUAUGUUUCAUGCGAGAGGACAUAAAUUUGCAUCCUAUUUUUCUGCCAAUUAGUUCCAAAUCACAAAUGUUUGUGCUAUUAGUGACAAUUUGGUGGAGAAGACGAGUCAUAUAUACAGCCAAUGUGUUAAUUUCUGUGAUGCGGCAAGCAAAGUUGGCAAUAGUACAGUAUAACCAUCAUGAUCUGCACAGGGAUAUCACCUAUGUGCAUAAGUCAUAAUCAUUCGGUUUUUAUUUGGCAAGCUGGAGCUACCCGGAACUUUCGAUUUUGGUGCCAAGGUGGAUGGAUUGAACUGGGUGACCCACUGUCAGGUCAUAAAUCACUUAUUUUGUUGAAGGAAGAGACUCCAUUUGCUGCCGAGGACCAAAUCGCACUAACUAAUCUGUUACUUGCUUAGAAGAAAUUGAGAAAGGGGAGCAUCUUACACCUAAUAGGAAGUGGUGGUCUAAUCCCAACCUCACCCAAUAAACAUACAUUACUAUAAAAUUUGCUUGCAUGCCGCCGCCUAUAUUUUUUCAUUACUAUCAUAACCUUUUUAGAUCAAGCAUGUCAUGCAUUACAUUUCAUUAUGUAUAUUGCAACUUCAAGACCACAAUUCCUCGGUAUGUAACAUCUGUAUGUUGACUAUUUUUUCGAAUUGAAUUAUGUAUUCAAAGCUAUUAUUCAGCAUAGACAUCAUUUGAAAAUCA